UACAGAGGGGGCAAGCGUUGUUCGGAAUUACUGGGCGUAAAGGGCGCGUAGGCGGCCUGUUAAGUCGAACGUGAAAUCCCCGGGCUCAACCCGGGAACUGCGUCCGAUACUGGCAGGCUUGAAUUCGGGAGAGGGAUGCGGAAUUCCAGGUGUAGCGGUGAAAUGCGUAGAUAUCUGGAGGAACACCGGUGGCGAAGGCGGCAUCCUGGACCGAUAUUGACGCUGAGGCGCGAAAGCCAGGGGAGCAAACGGGG
rnacentral:rRNA from 1 species